UUUGAAGACAUUUUUCAGAGGUCCAAAGCAACCUCUGAUUGAUAAAAAAAUAUUUCCCAUUACUUUUUGCCAUCUUAGUGAAAGGCCUUUCUCUGACUCACAACCUUUUCCACUACCACAGUGUGAAGCCAAGUUUCUUGGGUGCGCUAUUCCCGUAAGUGUUUUUCAGAGGUACUGGCAGAAGCGAGACUUAGAAUGAGACAAGGGAUGCAGUCACUGUUGUCUCUGUCCCAGAUAGAGACAUGGAAGCAGGCUCGCCCACAGUUGAGAAGGAGGAGGAAGGAGCAGACUUCAGCUCGAAGCUUCACCCAGGCCAACCGUCCAAAAACAUGUCAAACGUAUAUACACACACACUUUUUCCCCUACGUCCAAACGUCCUGUCCUCUUGGAAAAGUAAAAGCUGACCAAAGAGAGACACAGCUGCUCUCAUUCCCUCACCAGGGAUCCACCCUGAGGGCAUUUCAUCUCGAAUGUAGACUUUGAAAACAAGGCUGUCUUUUUUUAGUACAUUCAUUUUGUCUCAUUAACCGCAUCUACUGUGGCGCUGGAAGAAAAAAGGAUAUCCCUUCCAUCCCAGAUGAAAAAAAACCAUCGUAAAUCUCCAUGAUCAUAAGCUUUACUGCAAAAUGACCUAAAUGGACAGCAAACAAAACACCCGAUUGUUUUCGCUCGUCACGCCAAAUAAAUCGAAUAGAGCUCUCAAUCUAAGUCAAUCACCAAGUGUUAAGGGGAUGAAAUAUUGAAGUCAACUGAAAUCCAUCUCUGCGUAAACUUGAAAUGUUCCUUUUCAAACUGUUAUUACAUUCAUUUGUAACGCAAUACGCUGGAAAUAAAUGAAGGUAAAUGCGCAUCACACUGAAUGAUUAAAAAAACAAAAAUAGGCAUCCUGAACCGUCUCAAUGUCUGUAAAUUACAUGAUGCGUGUAUUUAGAGCUGAAGAAGCAUUCACUUCCACCAAAGCUCCAAUUAUGUACUUUGAAUGCUUAAACGUCAGCCAAGGUUUGCUGUAAAUACAGAAAGAUCCACACAAUCAGAGUCAACAAUAACAACAUCU